UUUUUAGGGAGAAUUUGGGGAUUUUGGGGGGGAUUUUGGGGGAAUUUGGGGAUUUUGGGGGGGUUUAGGGAGGAUUUGGGGAUUUUUGGGGGGAUUUGGGAGGAAUUUGGGGAUUUUUUGGGGGGAUUUGGCGAGUUUAGGGGGGAAUUUGGGUUUUUUGGGGCAGAUUUUGGGGGAUUUGGGGAUUUUGGGGGGGUUUGGGGGCGCCGGGAAGGGAUCAGGGUGCCCCAAAAUGGGGAAAAAUCCCCCAAAAUUGGGGAAAAAUCCCCCAAAAUUGGGAGAAAUCCCCCAAAACUGGGAGAAAUUUCCCAAAAUCGGAGGAAAUUUCCCCAAAUCGGAGGGAAUUUCCCCAAAAUCGAGGGAAUUCUCCCCAAAAUGAGGGGGGGUCUCACCCGAGCCCAGCAGCAGCAGCAGCAGCAGCGCCCCCAUCACCCCGGGGGGGGCCCGGGCCAUGCUCCGUCCUGGGGACCCCCAAAAAAACACCCCAAAUUCCAGGAUUUUCCCCAAAUUCCAGGAUUUUCCCCCAAAAUUCAGCAUUUCCCCCAAAAUUCCAAGAUUUUCCCCCAAAAACCGGGAUUUUCUCCCCCAAAGCCCCCCCUGGACACCCAAAAUUCGGAUUUUUUCCCCCAAAAUUUGGAUUUUUCCCCCCAAAAUUUGGAUUUUUCCCCCAAAAUUGGAUUUUCUCCCCAAAAUUCCAGGAUUUCCUUCAAAAUUCCAGGAUUUCCCCCCAAAACCGGAAUUUUUCUCCCCCAAAAUUGGAAUUUUCUCCUCCAAACCCCCCCGGGACUCCCAAAAUUUGGAUUUUUCCCCCCAAAAUUUGGAUUUUUCCCCCCUAAAUUCGGAUUUUCCCUCCCAAAAUCCGGAUUUUUUCCCCCAAAAUUUGAUUUUCUCCCCAAAAUUCCAGCAUUUCCCCAAAAUUCAGCAUUUCCCCCCCAAAACCGGGAUUUUCUCCCCCAAAGCCCCCCCUGGACACCCAAAAUUUGGAUUUUCCCCCAAAAUUUCGAUUUUUCCCCCCAAACCCGGGAUUUUUCCCCCCAAAACUUGGAUUUUCCCUCCCAAAAUUCGGAUUUUUCCCCCCAAAAUUUGGAUUUCUCCCCCAAAACUUGGAUUUUUUCCCCCAAAAUUCGGAUUUUCGCCCCCAAAAUUUCGAUUUUUCCCCCCAAAACCGGGAUUUCUCCCCCAAAAUU
rnacentral:lncRNA from 1 species